rnacentral:RNase_P_RNA from 1 species
UCAGCCGGGCGGUCCGUCGCGGGUCGGUUCCAUUCAGAUGGGAGCGACGUGAGGAAAGUCCGGGCAACGUAGAGCGCCAUACUUCCUAACGGGAAGCCGCGGGCGACCGCAGAGACAACGUGACAGAGAAUAACCGCCCCUAUUUAACGGUGGGGGAGCCGCCUUAUCCGGCGGCGCUAUCACCCCUCGGGGCAAGGGUGAAAAGGUGGGGUAAGAGCCCACCGGACAUCGCCGUGAGGCGGUGUGCCGCACGUCUUAUGGGUUGCAAGGUCAAGUAUACCGGCAUUCAAGGGUUGCUCGCCCAUUGCCGGGGGGUAGACUGCUUUAGCCGUAUGGCGACAUGCGGCAUAGAUAAAUGACGGACCGGCGCAAUAUAUAAAGCGCUGACAGAACCCGGCUUAUAGCCUGGCUGACGAU